AACUGAUACUACCUGCGGGAACCUGCGGAGGGAUCAUUACAGGACUCGCAAGACUCCUACAACCCUGUGAACUUAACUAUAAGCACGUUGCUUCGGCGGGUGUCUCGGCGAGGGUUCUCCCUCCCCGGGGCGCUAAGCCCGCCGGCGGCCUACUAUACUCUGUCUCUUUGCGUUGGCAUCUCGAGUACAAACAAACAAGUUAAAACUUUCAACAACGGAUCUCUAGAUCGGAAGAGCACA
rnacentral:misc_RNA from 1 species